rnacentral:misc_RNA from 1 species
UUUCCGUAGGUGAACCUGCGGAAGGAUCAUUAAAGUUAUAGUCCCCCGGCCCCUCCGGGCUGGGGUCUUCUAUACCACCCUUUGUUUAUUACACCUUUGUUGCUUUGGCAGGCCUGCCCUCGGGCUGCCGGCUCCGGCCGGCUCGUGCCUGCCAGAGGACCUAAACCCUGUUUGUAUAUGAAGUCUGAGUACUAUAUAAUAGUUAAAACUUUCAACAACGGAUCUCUUGGUUCUG